GAAUUAUCAAGAGUGGUAGAGGGAACUGGCCCAAUGAAACCCGGCAACCUGCGUAAGCGUGGUGCCAAAUCCAGCAUUUCUUUUCAUGAAAUGAAAGAUAAUCU
rfam:Eubacterium limosum KIST612, complete genome.